rnacentral:rRNA from 1 species
UACGGAGGGUGCAAGCGUUGUCCGGAUUUAUUGGGUUUAAAGGGUGCGUAGGCGGUCCGUUAAGUCCGGGGUGAAAGCCCAUCUGCUCAACAAGUGGAACUGCCCUGGAAACCUGGGCGGACUUGAGUACAGACGAGGGUGGCGGAAUGGAUGGUGGUACGCGGUGAAAUGCAUAGAUACCAUCCAGAACCCCCGAUUGCGAAGCAGC